rnacentral:rRNA from 1 species
GACGAACGCUGGCGGCGUGCUUAACACAUGCAAGUCGAACGGAAAGGCCCUGCUUUUGUGGGGUGCUCGAGUGGCGAACGGGUGAGUAACACGUGAGUAACCUGCCCUUGACUUUGGGAUAACUUCAGGAAACUGGGGCUAAUACCGGAUAGGAGCUCCUGCUGCAUGGUGGGGGUUGGAAAGUUUCGGCGGUUGGGGAUGGACUCGCGGCUUAUCAGCUUGUUGGUGGGGUAGUGGCUUACCAAGGCUUUGACGGGUAGCCGGCCAGAGAGGGUGACCGGUCACAUUGGGACUGAGGUACGGCCCAGACUCGUACGGGAGGCAGCAGUGGGGAAUAUUGCACAAUGGGCGGAAGCCUGAUGCAGAAACGCCGCGUGCGGGAUGACGGCCUUCGGGUUGUGAACCGCUUUCGCCUGUGACGAAGCGUGAGUGACGGUAAUGGGUAAAGAAGCACCGGCUAACUACGUG